rnacentral:rRNA from 2 species
UACGGAGGAUCCAAGCGUUAUCCGGAAUCAUUGGGUUUAAAGGGUCCGUAGGCGGUUUAGUAAGUCAGUGGUGAAAGCCCAUCGCUCAACGGUGGAACGGCCAUUGAUACUGCUAGACUUGAAUUAUUAGGAAGUAACUAGAAUAUGUAGUGUAGCGGUGAAAUGCUUAGAGAUUACAUGGAAUACCAAUUGCGAAGGCAGGUUACUACUAAUUGAUUGACGCUGAUGGACGAAAGCGUGGGGAGCGAACAGG